AGCGAACGCUGGCGGCAGGCCUAACACAUGCAAGUCGAACGAACCCUUCGGGGUUAGUGGCGGACGGGUGAGUAACACGUGGGAACGUGCCUUUAGGUUCGGAAUAACUCAGGGAAACUUGUGCUAAUACCGAAUGUGCCCUUCGGGGGAAAGAUUUAUCGCCUUUAGAGCGGCCCGCGUCUGAUUAGCUAGUUGGUGAGGUAACGGCUCACCAAGGCGACGAUCAGUAGCUGGUCUGAGAGGAUGGCCAGCCACACUGGGACUGAGACACGGCCCAGACUCCUACGGGAGGCAGCAGUGGGGAAUCUUGCGCAAUGGGCGAAAGCCUGACGCAGCCAUGCCGCGUGAAUGAUGAAGGUCUUAGGAUUGUAAAAUUCUUUCACCGGGGACGAUAAUGACGGUACCCGGAGAAGAAGCCCCGGCUAACUUCGUGCCAGCCGCCGCAGUAAAAC
rnacentral:rRNA from 1 species